rnacentral:rRNA from 1 species
AUUGAACGCUGGCGGGAUGCUUAACACAUGCAAGUCGAACGAGUGGCGGACGGGUGAGUAAUGUCUGGGAAACUGCCCGAUGGAGGGGGAUAACUACUGGAAACGGUAGCUAAUACCGCAUACUAUCAGAUGUGCCCAGAUGGGAUUAGCUAGUUGGUGGGGUAACGGCUCACCAAGGCGACGAUCCCUAGCUGGUCUGAGAGGAUGACCAGCCACACUGGAACUGAGACACGGCCCAGACUCCUACGGGAGGCAGCAGUGGGGAAUAUUGCACAAUGGGCGCAAGCCUGAUGCAGCCAUGCCGCGUGUAUGAAGAAGGCCUUCGGGUUGUAAAGUACUUUCGGCAGAGAAGCGUUACCCGCAGAAGAAGCACCGGCUAACUACGUGCCAGCAGCCGCGGUAAUUC